UGGCGCCCUUUCCUCUGCCCACUCAAGUGCAACGUGGCAGCCGAGUGAGGGCCUCGGGGUAACAA
rnacentral:pre_miRNA from 1 species